UAUGUUGUAUCUCGCUGGAGCAAGCGUUUUGUACACCUGGAUUUGAUGUAUAUAUAGUGAACUUCUGUUUUUAUAUUUGUUCUCUUUUAGCAGCUCUAUACUACUGGUUGUAGUAUUGUAUGAUUACAGGUACAGCUAUCGCUUCGUAUACAGGAAAAAUUUCUUUGUAUAUGGCGGAUUUGUCGACGUGCCUGGAAAAACGAGUAAUCCGGGGCGUGACAUAGUCUAAAGAAGCCUUUUUCGGAUCUCAAUUCCAAGCAAAAAUAAAUACAGCCAUAUCAGAACCCAAAUAAAAUCCGAAACCCUAACUAAAAUCAAACCCAAGUUCACAAAUAAAAACCCAAAACCAAAACCUAAACCCAUAAAACCCAAAUCAAACCCAAGUCCACAAAUAAAACCCCAAAACCAAAACCUAAACCCCUCAAACCGAAAUCGAAACCAAGUCCACAAAUAAAAUCCAAACCCAACCCAAACCAAGUCCACAUAAGGACCCAAAUCCGAAUCAAGUCCACUAACAAAGCCGAAACUUGAACCCAAAUCUAAACCAAGUCCACAAAUAAAAUCCAAACCUAAACCCAAAACUCAAAUCUAAACCAAAACCCAAAACCUAAAUCAAAUCUAAACCCAAUCCAAACCAAAUCAAGUCCACAAAUAAACCCAAACCCAAAACACAAAUAGAAUCCAAACCCAAACCAAAUCAAGUCCACAAAUAAACCCAAACUCAAAUCCAAUCCAGUCCAUAAAUAACCCUAAAUCCAAAUCCAAUCAUAAAUAGAACCCGUACCCGACUUCCAACUUGGAUUCAUGAACCAAGUUCAUGACCUAAAUCCCAUGAAUCAGGAACCAAGAAUCAAUUCAUGAACCCAAAUUUUUUGAAUCAUGGACCAAAUCCUAUAAUCAAGUUCGUGAACCAAGUCCAUACACCAAAUCCUAUAAACUUGAACCAAAUCCCACAUCCCAUGUACCAAGUUCAUGAACCAUACACCAUAUUCCAUGAACCAUACCCAAGUUCAUAAACCAAGUCUCAUGAACCAUAAACCAAAUCCCAUAAGCCAAGUUCACGAACCAUACACCGUGAACUAUGAAGAAUACACAAGUUCAUGAACCGAGUCUCAUGAACCAUAAACCAAACCCAUAAACCAUACACUAAGUUCAUGAAUCAUAAACCAAGUUCAUGAACCAUACCUUAUGAACCAUGAACCAAAUGAGCCAAGUUCAUGAACCAUACACCAUGAACCAUAAACCAUACGCCAAAUUCAUGAACCAUAAACUAUGAACCAAAUCUCAUGAACUAUAAACCAUAACCCAAGCCCUAUAAACCAUACACAAGUUCAUGAACCAAAUCUCAUGAACCAUGAACCAAAUACCAUAAACUAUAUCCAAGUUCAUGAACCAAAUCCCAAUCUCAUGAACCAUAUCAAAUGCCAUAAACCAUAUCCAAGUUCAUGAACCAAAUCUCAUGAACCGUGAACCAAAUACUAUUAACCGAACCAUGAACCAAAUCCCAUAAACCAUACACCAAGUUCAUUAACAAAAUCUCAUGAACCAUGAACCAAAUGACAUAAAUUAUAUCCAAGUUCAUGAACCAAAUCCCCUGAACCAUAUCAAAUGCCAUAAAUUAUAUUCAAGUUCAUGAACCAAAUCUGAUGAACCAUACAACCAUACACCAAGUUCAUGAACCCGUAAACCAUACCCAAGUUCAUGAACCAAAUCUCAUGAACCGUAAACCAUAAACUAUGCAACGACCCGACCCGCUAGCAACAAUAACUCGUUGGGCCAAACCACCGGCCCAAAAUGCUUAAGCCCAGUUAUUAUUACUAGCACGUAGGCCUCAUAUUAACUGAUCGAAAUCAGUAUCCCAUCCGAUAUGGGACUAUUGGAGCGUUACAAACUCCCCCUGUUUAGACCCUUACGUCCUCGUCGGCUCCAAAUCAAAUCACAGACAGACAGACCAGGAUCGAAAUUACCAGGCAAUGUGAGUUCUAGAGGUGGCUCCUACGAGUUCAAAAGGUGGCUCCCACCAAACCCAUUGGUGUAGCACUUUGUCCCACAUAGCACUUAGCUCUCAGACUUCCGGCUGAUAUUCGUCUCUGAUACCAAUUGCAACAACCCGACCCGCUAACAAUAAUAACUCGUUGGGCCACACCACCGGCCCAAAAUGCUUAAAUCCAGUUAUUAUUACUAGCGUGUAGGCCUCAUAUAAACUGAUCGAAAUCAGUAUCCCAUCCGAUGUGGGACUAUUGGAGCGUUAUAAACUCCCCCUAUUUAGACCCUGACGUCCUCGUCGGGUCCAAACCAGAUCACAAACAGACAUACCAGGAUCGAAAUUACCAGGCGAUGUGAGAUUCUAGAGGUGGCUCCUACGGGUUCAAGAGGUGGCUCCCACCAAACUUGUUGGUGUAGCACUUUGUCCUGCAUAGCACUUAACUCUCAUACUUCCAGCUGGUAUUUGUCUCUGAUAUCAAUUGCAACGACUGACCCGCUAGCAACAAUAACUCGUUGGGCCAAACCACCGGCCCAAAAUGCUUAAGCCCAGUUAUUAUUACUAGCGCGUAGGCCUCAUAUAAACUGAUCGAAAUCAGUAUCCCAUCCGAUGUGGGACUAUUGGGGGCGUUACAAACCAAGUUCAUGAACCAAAUCUCAUGAACCAUAAACCAAGUUCAUGAACCAAAUAAACCAAGUUCAUGAAUCAUGAACCAAGUCCAUAAACCAAGUUCAUAAAACAAACCCAUGAACCAUAUCCAAGUUCAUGAAACAAAUCCAAUACCCAAAUCUCAUGAACCAUACACCAAGUUCAUGACUCAAAUCUCAUGAACCAUGUACCAAGUUCAUGAACCAUAAUCAAACCUUACGAACCAUACACCAAGUUUAUGAAUCAUAAACCAAACCCCAUAAACCAUACACCAAGUUCAUGAACCCAAUACCGUAAACCAUACCUAAGUUCAUGAACUAAAUAUCAUGAACCAUUCAUGAAACCCUAUGAGACAUAAACCUCAUGAACUAUACACCACAUCCCAUGAACCAAAUCCCAUACGCCAAACCUUAUGAACCAUAUACCAAACCUCAUAAACCAUAUACCAAACUCUAUGAGCCAUGUACCAAACUAUACCACAUAUUAACCUCAUGAAUUGAAUCAUGUUCAAAUCCUAUAUACCCAAAUCUCAUGAGCCAAUACCCAAAUCUCAUGAACCAUAUAUCAAGUUCAUGCCCAAAGUCCAUCAUGAAUCUUUUUUUACUCUAGCACAUACACCUAGAGUAAAAAUUAAAUAUCGACUACCCCUAAUACAUAUACUUAGGGCUAAGUCAAUUACCUUAGCACAUAUAACUAAGACAAAACAUCUCCAAAUCGACAGAAUUCUAAAUUAUAUACUUAGAAUUCAGUCGAAUGAUAUCAAAUUCAUUCGAACUCUAACACAUAUACUUAGAGUUCAUCUGACUAACCCUAAUACAUACCCUUAGGGCCUAGUCAACCUUUCACUCUAGCACAUAUACCUAGAGUGGGUAGUCAAACCAAGCUCGACUAGUCCUAAUCCAUAUACUUAGCCUUUGUUUGGUUGGGGGUUAAGGAGUGGAAUAACCCCUUAACCCCCAUAUUAUCCCCAAACACCUUCAAAAAUGGGUGGGGUUAGUUAACCCCACCUAACCCGGAAUAGCUCAUUUUGGGUGGGGUUAGCUAACCCUACCUAACUCCACCAAACCACAACCAAACAUUAUUUUCUAUUCAUAAAAACCCACUAUCCUUCUUAUCCCAUCUACUCCAACCAAACACUAUUUUUCACUAUUAGCUAACCCCACCUAACUCCACCAAAUCCCAACCAAACAUUAUUUUCUAUUCAUAAUAACCCACUAUCCUUCUUAUCCCACCUACUCCAACCAAACACUAUUUUUCACUAUCCUGAACUAACUCCAACCCCCAACCAAACACAAAAAUACUCUACCCCCACCUUAACUCUGAACUUAACCCUAUCCCUGGAAUAACUAGUUUUUCCUUAACCCCGAACCAAACGGUAGCUUAGGGUCUAGUCAGCCUUUUUGCUCUAGCACACUUACUUAGAGUAAAA
rnacentral:lncRNA from 1 species